rnacentral:tRNA from 1 species
GCCGGGAUGGUGGAACUGGCAAACACUCGAGACUUAAAAUCUCGCGGGUGGUAACACCCUUGGGGGUUCAACUCCCCCUCCCGGCACCA